rnacentral:misc_RNA from 1 species
GAUGAAGAACGCAGCGAAAUGCGAUAAGUAAUGUGAAUUGCAGAAUUCAGUGAAUCAUCGAAUCUUUGAACGCACAUUGCGCCCCUUGGUAUUCCGAGGGGCAUGCCUGUUCGAGCGUCAUUAUAACCCCUCAAGCUCAGCUUGGUGUUGGGGCCUGCUGCACUGGCAGCCCUUAAAAUCAGUGGCGGCGCCAUCUGGCUCUAAGCGUAGUAAUUCUUCUCGCUAUGGAGUCCUGGUGGAUGCUUGCCAUCAACCCCCAAUUUUUCUAUGGUUGACCUCGGAUCAGGUAGGGAUACCCGCUGAACAUAGGCAUAUCAAUAAGCGGAGGA